UACGUAGGGGGCAAGCGUUGUCCGGAAUCAUUGGGCGUAAAGAGCGCGUAGGCGGUCCGAUAAGUCGGUUGUGAAAGUCGGGGGCUCAACCCUCGGAGGCCGACCGAUACUGUCGGGCUAGAGUCCGGAAGAGGCGAGUGGAAUUCCUGGUGUAGCGGUGAAAUGCGCAGAUAUCAGGAGGAACACCAGUGGCGAAGGCGGCU
rnacentral:rRNA from 1 species